UUUGUUGGUGCUUUGUUUAAAAAUUACAGUUGAAAGGAUAAGACUGAAAAUAAAAAGAACAUAAAAAGAGAAAAUUUCAAAACCUAAAAUUGGACCAGUUCUACCGAAACAAACCAGUUGACCAAAGGACAAAAAGAAAAAAAUCAGGACAAAGAACUCAGCCGAAACUUUACCGCCAGAACGGUCGCUGCAUCUACUAAACCCAAUUGUCCACCAAAAAUAUGCAGAGUUUGAACUGAGCAAAGCAUACCGUUUCCAAAAUUGAAGAGAGCUUAAUCUGAAAACAAAGG
rnacentral:lncRNA from 1 species